GGGGCUUCAGAUGGGCCACAGUGUACUCCCAAAGAGUACAAGUGAAGCAAGAAUCAAAGAAAAUUUUGACGUGUUCGAUUGGUCUAUUCCUGAGGAUCUGUUUGCCAAGUUCUCUGAAAUCGAGCAGGCGAGACUAGUGAGAGGCAAAUUCCUUGUUCACCCGGAAAGCAUAUACAAGAGUGUGGAGGAGGUCUGGGAUGGCGAGAUCUGAGCAUGUUCAGGAUAAUGGUAGUGCAUUGUUG
rnacentral:misc_RNA from 1 species